rnacentral:misc_RNA from 1 species
GAUGAAGAACGCAGCGAAAUGCGAUACGUAAUGUGAAUUGCAAAUUCAGUGAAUCAUCGAGUCUUUGAACGUACAUUGCGCCCCCUGGUAUUCCGGGGGGCAUGCCUGUCCGAGCGUCAUUGCUGCCCUCAAGCACGGCUUGUGUGUUGGGCCCCGUCCUCCGAUCCCGGGGGACGGGCCCGAAAGGCAGCGGCGGCACCGCGUCCGGUCCUCGAGCGUAUGGGGCUUUGUCACCCGCUCUGUAGGCCCGGCCGGCGCUUGCCGAUCAACCCAAAUUUUUAUCCAGGUUGACCUCGGGUCAGGUAGGGAUACCCGCUGAACUUAAGCAUAUCAAUAAGCGGAGGA